rnacentral:rRNA from 1 species
UACGUAGGGGGCGAGCGUUGUCCGGAGUUACUGGGCGUAAAGGGCACGCAGGCGGUGCGGCGCGUUUCGCGUGACAGCGGAGGGCUUAACUCUCCGAGGAUGCGAAAGACGGCGGCACUUGAGGGCCAGAGAGGGACACGGAAUUCCGGGUGGAGUGGUGAAAUGCGUAGAGAUCCGGAGGAACACCGAAGGCGAAGGCAGUGUCCUGGCUGGUGACUGACGCUGAGACGCGAAAGCGUGGGGAGCAAACAGG